rnacentral:rRNA from 1 species
GGGCAAGUCUGGUGCCAGCAGCCGCGGUAAUUCCAGCUCCAAUAGCGUAUAUUAAACUUGUUGCAGUUAAAAAGCUCGUAGUUGAAUUUCAGCGUUUCGCGUGUGCCUCUUUUGGCCCAUCUCGUCUCGUUUUUUUUAUUACUUUGUUAAAAUUAGUGUGUUUCAAGCAGGCUUUUGUCAUGAAUACUUGAGCAUGGAAUAAUAGAGUAUGACCUUGCUUGUAUUUUGUUGGUUUUGUUUCCUUGGUAAUGGGUAAUAGGAACGGUUGGGGGCAUUCGUAUUUAACUGUCAGUUGGUGAAAUUCUUAUUUUUGUUAAAGACGUGAAACUGCGAAAGCAUUUGCCAAGGACGUUUCCAUUAAUCAUUUGCCAAGGAUGUGGGAUCAAUCACGAUCAGAAUACUUAGGGAUCCCUAACCAUAACUAACCGUCGUAGUCCUAACCAUAAACUA